rnacentral:rRNA from 1 species
UACGUAGGGUGCGAGCGUUGUCCGGAAUUAUUGGGCGUAAAGGGCUCGUAGGCGGUCUGUUACGUCGGGAGUGAAAACUCGGGGCUCAACCCCGAGCCUGCUUCCGAUACGGGCAGACUAGAGGUAUGCAGGGGAGAAUGGAAUUCCUGGUGUAGCGGUGAAAUGCGCAGAUAUCUGGAGGAACACCGGUGGCGAAGGCGGCAUCCUGGACCAACAUUGACGCUGAGGAGCGAAAGCUAGGGGAGCAAACGGG